rnacentral:lncRNA from 1 species
AAAGGAAUCCAGCCUUCUGUCGGGACAUUUCCGACCUCAGCCAGCUCAUCCUCUGGCAUGCGGAAGGUUUCAGUGUAUAGUCUUGGCUGGUCUGGAACGCAGCAUGUUAUAUAAAUCAAUCUGGCCUCAAAAGUUAUAGAGCUCCACAUGCCUCUGCCUCCCCAGAGCUGAGUUAAAGGUGUGUGCAACCACAUCUAAUAAGUCACUUUCUUUCAUAAAAUGCCACCCUUUUUAGGUCUGCAAGGUCAAAGUCACACUGUCCUUGUGCUUCAGCAAAUAGACCCAUCGCUGUAAUUCAUGCCAUUGCCUGCCUUUCUCUCGGAGCCCAGCCUUGAUCUCCAUUAAGGAGUGAAAUCUUGAACCACAGAAAAGAGAGUGGUCAUUUUUGGCAUGUCCGGUUUGGACUGGCACCAGUCACCAAACAAAGCGGGAUCACCCUUGCCUCCAUUUUCCGAAGAUCCUGAAGGAAUGUGAGUGCCAGCUUCCACUUUCCUCAGGCAAAGAAACCCUUGGAGGAAGCAGGAUGUUCUUGCUUGAGACUGACUGGCCUCAGGCUGUGGUGCCCAGUUACCUGCUGGUCCCUUCAGCUUCAGGCCUCAUACCUCCAGGGAACUGUGUUGGCCCAUCUGCCGUUCUGCCUACAAGAAGAUUUGAUUUGUUUUCCAGGUUGAAAUGAUGUGCCACCACCCCAGAUCAGCACUGCAACUAACCCCUAAUACUACCUUGGGAGAGGCAGCCCCAUCUUUCCUGAUUAGGCUUGUGUCUUCGGAGAUUAACACAUUGUGAGCGGGCAGGACUGUGGCAGCCCUCCCUUUCUGAGUCUGUUCUGGUUCUGUCUUGCCUCACAAUGCUCUAGAUGACCCAGUCGUUCACUGGACAAGAGUUUGGAACCCUUUGAGGAUCUCCAGGCUCAGGCUGAGUGGGGCUGGACUCCUGGCAUCCUCAGUCCAUGUCAGGACACACAGGACACUGGUGCAGCUUCAUUCUGUAAGUUGUCCUGCACACUGACAUCCCAGGAUUAUCCUCAGAUCCACACGCCAGAUCAUCUCUGUGGAAAUGGAGUAAAGGUCCACUUGGAGGACUGAAAGUUCACCUUCCAGCUUUGUGUGUGUGUAUAUGUGUGUGUGCUGGGGGCUCAGACUCAAGGCCUUUUCUUUU